CUUGCCCCCCCGAGGCGUUGCAGCCCGACUGUGUGUCGAGACUGUGUCAUGAGGCGGCAGAUAACAAGAAGGUCAAUGGCAUCAUCUGCAUUCAGUACCCACUCAAGUGGGGAUUUGAAGUGCUGUUUAUACCUACAGA